rnacentral:rRNA from 1 species
GGGGGGUAAGCUUCAUUGUCGAGAGGGUAACAGCCCAGAUCAUCAUUUAAGGCCCCUAAAUAUAUACUAAGUGAUAAAGGAUGUAAAAUUACAUUGACAACCAGGAGGUUGGCUUAGAAGCAGCCAUUUACCUUUAAAAAGUGCGUAAUAGCUUACUGGUCAAGUGAUUUUGCGCCUAAAAUGAACGGGACUAAGUAUUUUGCCGAAAGUAUGAGAGAAAUCAGUAGAAGAGCGUUCUGUUUUGUUUAGAAGUAAUAACGUAAGUAGUUAUGGAUCAAUCAGAAGUGAGAAUGUCGGCUUAAGUAACGAAAACAUUGGUGGAAAUCCAAUGCCCCGAAAACCUAAGGAUUCCUUAGCCAGGUUCGUCCACUAAGGGUUAGUCAGUACCUAAGAUUAGGUUUAGAGACGUAAUCGAUGGAUAACAGGUUAAUAUUCCUGUACUAAUUUUCAUUUUUUAAGAGUGACGAAAGAAGCUAGAUCAUCCAAAGAUUGGUUGUUUUGGUUUAAUAUUUCAAGGCUGUGAGAAGUAUAAAAAAAAAUAUUUUGAGCUAAGAGUAGAAUACGAUGGGUACUACGGUACCGAAAGUGAUUAAUGCUAUAUUUCCUAGAAAAACUUUUGUAAUUUUAUUGAGAGUUAACUGUACCAUAAACUGACACAGGUGGGUUAGUAGAGAAUACUAAGGGGCGCGAGAUAACUCUCUCUAAGGAACUCGGCAAAAUGACUCCGUAACUUCGGAAGAAGGAGUGCCUCUUUAGAGGUCGCAGUGAUCAGGUCCAAGCGACUGCUUACCAAAAGCACAGGUCUCCGCUAAGUUGUAAAAUGAUGUAUGGGGGCUGACGCCUGCCCAGUGCCAGAAGGUUAAAGAAAUUGGUUAGCGUAAGCAAAGCUAGUAACUGAAGCCCUGGUGAACGGCAGCAAUAACUAUGAUUGUUCGAAGGUAGCGAAAUUCCUUGUCGGGUAAGUUCCGACCCGCACGAAAGGCGUAACGAUUUGGACGCUGUCUUGGAGAGAGACUCGGUGAAAUAGAAUUGACUGUGAAGAUGCGGUCUACUUGCACUUGGACAGAAAGACCCUAUGAAGCUUUACUGUAACUUGAGAUUGGUUUUGGACUUUUCUUGCGCAGAAUAGGUGGGAGGCUUUGAAUCUCUUUUUAGGAAGUUGAUGAGCUGUAAUGUGAGAUACCACUCUGGAGAAGUUAAGAAUCUAAUAGUAUUAUUUUAUCAAGAUACUUGACAGUUUCAGGCGGGCAGUUUUACUGGGGCGGUAGCCUCCUAAAAAGUAACGGAGGCGUACAAAGGUUUUCUCAGUCUGGACGGAAAUUAGUUUUAGAGUGUAAAGACAUAAGAAAGCUUGACUGUGAGACCUAUAAGUCGAGCAGAGACUAAAGUCGGUCUUAGUGACCCGACGGUACUGAGUGGAAGGGCCGUCGUUCAACAGAUAAAAGUUACUCUAGGGAUAACAGGCUGAUCUCCCCCAAGAGUUCACAUCGACGGGGAGGUUUGGCACCUCGAUGUCGGCUCAUCGCAACCUGGGGCGGUAGUACGUCCCAAGGGUUGGGCUGUUCGCCCAUUAAAGCGGUACGUGAGCUGGGUUCAGAACGUCGAGAGACAGUUCGGUCCAUAUCCGGUGUGAGCGUUAGAGUAUUGAAAGGAGCUCUCUUUAGUACGAGAGGACCGAGAGGGACACACCACUGAUGUACCAGUUUUUGUGCCAACAGAAAACGCUGGGUAGUCAAGUGUGGAGUGGAUAA